UACGGAGGGGGCGAGCGUUAUUCGGAAUUAUUGGGCGUAAAGGGCGCGUAGGCGGCUAUUCAAGUCGCGUGUGAAAGCCCCCGGCUCAACUGGGGAGGGUCACGCGAUACUGAUCGACUCGAAGGCAGGAGAGGGUAGUGGAAUUCCCGGUGUAGUGGUGAAAUGCGUAGAUAUCGGGAGGAACACCAGUGGCGAAGGCGACUACCUGGCCUGUUUCUUGACGCUGAGGCGCGAAAGCUAGGGGAGCAAACGGG
rnacentral:rRNA from 1 species